rnacentral:rRNA from 1 species
AUUGAACGCUGGCGGAAUGCUUUACACAUGCAAGUCGAACGGCAGCACGGACUUCGGUCUGGUGGCGAGUGGCGAACGGGUGAGUAAUAUAUCGGAACGUGCCCAGUCGUGGGGGAUAACGUAGCGAAAGCUACGCUAAUACCGCAUACGAUCUACGGAUGAAAGCGGGGGAUCGCAAGACCUCGCGCGAUUGGAGCGGCCGAUAUCAGAUUAGGUAGUUGGUAAGGUAAAGGCUCACCAAGCCGACGAUCUGUAGCUGGUCUGAGAGGACGACCGGCAACACUGGGACUGAGACACGACCCAGACUCCUACGUGAGGCAGCAGUGGGGAAUUUUGGACAAUGGACGGAAGUCUGUUCCCGCCAUUGCGCGUGCAGGACAAAGGCCUACGGGUUGUAAACUGCUUUUGUACAGAACGAAAAGGUCUCUAUUAAUACUAGGGGCUCAUGACGGUACUGAAAGAAUAAGCCCCGGCUAACUACGUGCCAGCAGCCGCCGUAA